GAUGAACGCUGGCGGCGUGCCUAAUACAUGCAAGUCGAGCGAACAGACGAGGAGCUUGCUCCUCUGACGUUAGCGGCGGACGGGUGAGUAACACGUGGAUAACCUACCUAUAAGACUGGGAUAACUUCGGGAAACCGGAGCUAAUACCGGAUAAUAUAUUGAACCGCAUGGUUCAAUAGUGAAAGGCGGUUUUGCUGUCACUUAUAGAUGGAUCCGCGCCGCGUUAGCUAGUUGGUAAGGUAACGGCUUACCAAGGCGACGAUGCGUAGCCGACCUGAGAGGGUGAUCGGCCACACUGGAACUGAGACACGGUCCAGACUCCUACGGGAGGCAGCAGUAGGGAAUCUUCCGCAAUGGGCGAAAGCCUGACGGAGCAACGCCGCGUGAGUGAUGAAGGUCUUCGGAUCGUAAAACUCUGUUAUUAGGGAAGAACAAAUGUGUAAGUAACUAUGCACGUCUUGACGGUACCUAAUCAGAAAGCCACGGCUAACUACGUG
rnacentral:rRNA from 1 species